GAGGUUUUUUUAUAAACGGUUUUUUGGCUGAAUUUGAUUUAUCUACGAAAAGUUAGAUUUGUUUUCAAAGACGAGAAGACCCCGAAAUCUUUAUUUUAAAAAAAUGGGUUUUAAUUUUUGUUUGGGGGAAAAGUUAAUUUGUAUUAUUUUCUUUUUUAGUGUGAACUUUGUUAGGUUAAAUGGAUAGAUACUUCGGGGUUAACAGGAUAAUUUUCUUUUGAAGUUCUUAUUUUAGAGGGAGAUUGUUACCUCGAUGUUGGCUUUUGAAAC
rnacentral:rRNA from 1 species